CCUAUUGUUUUAGGCAACCGGCCUCGGAUUGUGUAAAUUCUGAGUCUUUUGUUGCUUUUGUUGCAGGCUAAUAAAGUUUUUCUUUCGUUUAUUUUUUUUCUAAGAGUUUAAACAGGGGAAGUUAACUCCCCAGGGCUGCCGGGUUAGCCGCGCUGCCUGGGCCGGAGGGCGCCUUUGGCCGGGGAAGCGCCAAAGGAAGCCGCGCUAGCGGCCGGGGUCCGUUCUGCGAGGACCAGGGGCCGGGGGGCGGGAGGGGAACCGCGGGGCUGCACCUGGGGCGCCCCGGUCUGGUCCGCGGCGCCGCCUAUUUUUAAUAGCAUCUUUUGGACUCGUUUCCUUGGUCUCAGUCCUCGACCUCGGCGCUGCCUGGGCUCUCGCAGCCUCUCCCUAGGUCUACUCCAAACGACCACCUCGGAUUCCUUAUGGAUCGCAGCUCCAAGAGGAGGCAGGUGAAGCCUUUGGCAGCUUCUCUGCUAGAAGCUCUCGAUUAUGAUAGUUCAGAUGACAGUGAUUUUAAAGUUGGAGAUGCUUCAGAUUCUGAAGGGAGUGGUAAUGGAAGUGAAGAUCCUUCAAAGGACAGUGGAGAAGGUUCCUGUAGUGAUUCUGAAGAAAAUAUUUUAGAGGAAGAACUGAAUGAAGAUAUUAAAGUAAAAGAAGAACAACUUAAAAUUUCUGCAGAGGAAGAAAUACUGUCAUCAGAAAAACAGUUAAUUAAAGUGGAAAAGAAGGAGGAAGAAGAGAAUGGAGAGAGACCUAGAAAGAAAAAGGAAAAAGAGAAGGAGAAAGAAAAAGAUAAAGAGAAGGAGAGAGAGAAGGAUAAAGAAAAAGCAACAACAUCUGAUAACGUGGCUGCUUCUGCUGCUUCCACCACACCAGCCACAAGUCCUCCUGCUGCUAACACAUCUCCUUCAGUCCCCACGACAACAACUACAGAGGAGCAAGUCAGUGAGCCAAAAAAGUGGAACCUUCGUCGCAACCGACCACUUUUGGAUUUUGUAUCCAUGGAAGAGCUGAAUGACAUGGAUGACUAUGAUAGUGAAGAUGACAAUGAUUGGCGACCCACUGUAGUAAAAAGAAAGGGAAGAUCUGCAUCUCAGAAAGAAGGAAGUGAUGGAGACAAUGAGGAUGAUGAAGAUGAGGGAAGUGGGAGUGAUGAGGAUGAAAAUGAUGAAGGCAAUGAUGAAGAUCAUAGCAGCCCUGCCAGUGAAGGGGGUUGCAAGAAGAAGAAGAGUAAAGUUCUUAGCAGAAACAGUGCUGAUGAUGAGGAACUGACCAAUGAUAGCCUGACACUAUCUCAGAGCAAGAGUAAUGAGGACUCGCUGAUUCUUGAGAAGAGUCAAAACUGGAGUUCUCAAAAAAUGGACCAUAUUCUGAUUUGCUGUGUUUGUCUUGGAGAUAAUAGUGAGGAUGCUGAUGAAAUAAUUCAGUGUGACAAUUGUGGCAUUACAGUCCAUGAAGGUUGUUAUGGAGUUGAUGGAGAGAGUGACUCUAUUAUGAGUUCAGCUUCUGAAAACUCCACUGAACCUUGGUUUUGCGAUGCCUGUAAAUGUGGUGUUUCCCCUAGCUGUGAACUAUGUCCCAAUCAGGAUGGAAUUUUCAAGGAGACAGAUGCUGGAAGAUGGGUUCAUAUUGUCUGUGCCCUGUAUGUUCCUGGUGUAGCCUUUGGAGAUAUUGACAAAUUGCGACCAGUAACGCUAACAGAAAUGAACUAUUCCAAAUAUGGUGCCAAGGAGUGUAGCUUCUGUGAAGACCCUCGUUUUGCUAGAACUGGAGUUUGCAUUAGCUGUGAUGCAGGGAUGUGCAGAGCCUAUUUCCAUGUGACCUGCGCUCAGAAGGAAGGUCUGCUUUCAGAGGCAGCAGCAGAGGAGGAUAUAGCAGAUCCAUUUUUUGCUUAUUGUAAGCAACAUGCAGAUAGGUUAGACAGAAAGUGGAAGAGAAAAAACUACUUGGCUCUACAGUCCUAUUGUAAAAUGUCUUUACAAGAGAGAGAGAAGCAACUAUCACCAGAAGCACAGGCAAGGAUCAAUGCCCGGCUUCAGCAAUAUCGUGCCAAAGCAGAACUAGCUCGAUCCACCAGACCCCAGGCCUGGGUUCCAAGGGAAAAAUUGCCCAGACCACUCACUAGCAGUGCUUCGGCCAUUCGUAAACUUAUGCGGAAAGCAGAACUGAUGGGGAUCAGUACAGAUAUCUUCCCAGUGGACAAUUCAGAUACUAGUUCUAGUGUGGAUGGAAGGAGAAAACAUAAGCAACCUGCUCUCACUGCUGAUUUUGUGAAUUAUUAUUUUGAGAGAAAUAUGCGCAUGAUUCAAAUUCAAGAAAAUAUGGCUGAACAAAAGAAUAUAAAGGAUAAAUUAGAGAAUGAACAAGAAAAGCUUCAUGUGGAAUAUAAUAAGCUGUGUGAAUCUUUAGAAGAACUACAAAACCUGAAUGGAAAGCUUCGAAGUGAAGGACAAGGAAUAUGGGCCUUACUAGGCAGAAUCACAGGGCAGAAGUUGAACAUACCGGCAAUUUUGCGAGCACCCAAGGAGAGAAAACCAAGUAAAAAAGAAGGAGGCACACAAAAGACAUCUACUCUUCCUGCAGUACUUUAUAGUUGUGGAAUUUGUAAGAAGAACCAUGAUCAGCAUCUUCUUUUAUUGUGUGAUACCUGUAAACUCCAUUACCAUCUUGGAUGUCUGGACCCUCCUCUUACAAGGAUGCCAAGAAAGACCAAAAACAGUUAUUGGCAGUGUUCAGAAUGUGACCAGGCAGGGAGCAGUGACAUGGAAGCAGACAUGGCCAUGGAAACCUUACCAGAUGGGACCAAACGAUCAAGGAGGCAGAUUAAGGAACCAGUGAAAUUUGUUCCACAGGAUAUGCCUCCAGAACCCAAGAAGAUUCCAAUAAGAAACACGAGAACCAGAGGACGAAAACGAAGCUUCAUUCCUGAGGAAGAAAAACAUGAGGAGAGAGUUCCUAGAGAGAGGAGACAAAGGCAGUCUGUGUUACAAAAGAAGCCCAAGGCUGAGGAUUUACGAACUGAAUGUGCAACUUGCAAGGGAACUGGAGACAAUGAAAACCUUGUCAGAUACCCUUCAUGAGACCCAACUCUGCCACAGCUCAUCCUCGGAGGCAAUCCUGGAAACCUCUUUUAUAAGUUUACAGAAUUAAAAUUUGGUCUUCAAGCUUUAAUGAACAAGUCUUAAAUCAACGACAGAAAUAUGUUGAAUAUUUCAUCACUUCAUCUUGAACUGAUUUAGAAGAGACUGUUUGCUGAAAUUGAAAUACAUAUAUACAUGUAAAUUGUCAACAUGUCUCUUGGAAUUUCCUGAUUUAUAAAUGUGGUUUGGGACAUCUUUUCAGGAUGAGAUUGUCUGAAACGAAGAAUAGGUGUGAUGAAUGUAGACUGUGCUACCAUUUUGGUUGUUUGGAUCCUCCUUUGAAAAAGUCUCCUAAACAAACAGGCUAUGGAUGGAUAUGUCAGGAGUGUGAUUCUUCAUC